rnacentral:rRNA from 1 species
UUGAACGCUGGCGGCAUGCCUUACACAUGCCAGUCGAACGGCAGCACGGGUGCUUGCACCUGGUGGCGAGUGGCGAACGGGUGAGUAAUACAUCGGAACAUGUCCUGUAGUGGGGGAUAGCCCGGCGAAAGCCGGAUUAAUACCGCAUACGAUCCACGGAUGAAAGCGGGGGACCUUCGGGCCUCGCGCUAUAGGGUUGGCCGAUGGCUGAUUAGCUAGUUGGUGGGGUAAAGGCCUACCAAGGCGACGAUCAGUAGCUGGUCUGAGAGGACGACCAGCCACACUGGGACUGAGACACGGCCCAGACUCCUACGGGAGGCAGCAGUGGGGAAUUUUGGACAAUGGGCGAAAGCCUGAUCCAGCAAUGCCGCGUGUGUGAAGAAGGCCUUCGGGUUGUAAAGCACUUUUGUCCGGAAAGAAAUCCUUGACUCUAAUACAGUCGGGGGAUGACGGUACCGGAAGAAUAAGCACCGGCUAACUACGUG